rnacentral:rRNA from 1 species
UACGUAGGGUGCAAGCGUUGUCCGGAAUUAUUGGGCGUAAAGGGCUCGUAGGCGGUCCAUCGCGUCGGGAGUGAAAAGCUGGGGCUUAACCCCAGUCCUGCUUCCGAUACGGGUGGACUAGAGGUAGGUAGGGGAGAUCGGAAUUCCUGGUGUAGCGGUGAAAUGCGCAGAUAUCAGGAGGAACACCAGUGGCGAAGGCGGCUACCUGGACCGGUUCUGACGCUGAGGCGCGAAAGCGUGGGUAGCAAACAGG